rnacentral:rRNA from 1 species
AUUGAACGCUGGCGGCAGGCCUAACACAUGCAAGUCGAGCGAGCGGCGGACGGGUGAGUAAUGUAUGGGGACUGCCCGAUAGAGGGGGAUAACUACUGGAAACGGUAGCUAAUAACGAAUACUAUCGGAUAACCCAUAUGGGAGUAGCGAGUCGGUGAGGUAAUGGCUCACCUAGGCGCCGAUCCCUAGCUGGUCUGAGAGGAUGAUCAGCCACACGGUGACUGAGACACGGCCCAGAAUCCUACGGAGGCAGCAGUGGGGAAUAUUGCACAAGGGGCGCAAGCCUGAUGCAGCCAUGCCGCGUGUAUGAAGAAGGCCCUAGGGUUGUAAAGUACUUUCAGUCGGGAGGCGUUACCGACAGAAGAAGCACCGGCUAACUCCGUGCCAGCAGCCGCGGUAAUAC